rnacentral:rRNA from 1 species
GAUCCUGGCUCAGGACGAACGCUGGCGGCGCGCCUAACACAUGCAAGUCGAACGGAGAUGAUAAAAGCUUGCUUUGAUCAUCUUAGUGGCGGACGGGUGAGUAACACGUGAGCAACCUGCCUUUCAGAGGGGGAUAACGUUUGGAAACGAACGCUAAUACCGCAUAACGUAUACGGAUGGGCAUCAACUGUAUACCAAAGGAGCAAUCCGCUGAAAGAUGGGCUCGCGUCCGAUUAG